UAUUCUUAGCACAAAUACAAUUAGUGCUCUAAAAGAUUGAAAAUCUAAUGUGCUAUUUACACUAUAAGAAC
rnacentral:tRNA from 1 species